rnacentral:lncRNA from 1 species
UUAGGAUUAGGAUUUGGUUAGGAUUUGAUUUAGGAUUAGGAUUUGAUUAGGAUUUAGGAUUAAGAUUAGAAUUUGGUUAGGAUUUGAUUUAAGAUUAGGAUUUGAUUAGGAUUUAGUUAGGAUUUGAUUUAAGAUUAGGAUUUGGUUUAGGAUUUAGGAUUAGAGUUAGCAUUUGGUUAGGAUUUGAUUUAGGAUUAGAAUUUGAUUAGGAUUUAGUUAGGAUUUGAUUUAGGAUUAUGUUAUGGUUUAGGAUUUAGAAUUAGGGUUAGGAUUUGGUUAGGAUUUGAUUUAGGGUUAGGAUUUAGGAUUUAGGAUUAGAAUUAGGAUUUGGUUAGGAUUUGAUUUAGGAUUAGGGUUUAGGAUUUGAUUUAAAAUUAGGAUUUGAUUCAGGAUUUAGGAUUUGGUUAGGGUUUGAUUUAGGAUUAAGUUUUGAUUAAGAUUUGAUUUAGAAUAAGAAUUUGGUUAGGAUUUGAUUUAGGAUUUAGGAUUAAGAUUAGGAUUUGAUUAGGAUUUGAUUUAGGAUUUAGGAUUAAGAUUAGGAUUUGAUUAGGAUUUGAUUUAGGAUUUAGGAUUUGGUUUAAGAUUUAGGAUUUGGUUAGGGUUUGAUUUAAGAUUAAGUUUUGGUUAAGAUUUGAUUUAGGAUAAGGAUUUGGUUAGGAUUUGAUUUAAGAUUUAGGAUUAAGAUUAGGAUUUGAUUAGGAUUUGGUUAGGAUUUGAUUUAGGAUUUAGGAUUUGGUUUAGGGUUUAAAGUUUGGAUAGGAUUUGAUGAAGAUUUGAUUUAGGAUUUAGGAUUUUAUUUGAGUUUGUUUAGAAUUUAAAAUUUAGUUAGUUUUUGGCCUAAAGUUUGAAUGAGGUUCAAUAAGAUUUCAACUGGAAUUAAAUUAAGAUUGAAUUGAGAUGUAUUUGAAAUAUGUUUGUAAUCAUUCUAAUAUUUCUUUAAGAUCUCUUAUUGUUUCUUUGGAAUUCUUUUGAGAUUUCUUUGAAUUUGAUUAACGUUUGUUUAGCUUUCUUAGUGUUCUAUUAGAAUUAGGAUUUUUUUUCUUGUAAU